GUCUAUGGCCAUACCAGGCUGAGUGCUCCUGAGCUCAUCUGAUCUCCGAUCUGGGGUUGGGUCUGGUUAGUACUUGGAUGGGAGACCAAUAUACCAGACCAUAGUUU
rnacentral:rRNA from 2 species